GACGAACGCUGGCGGCGUGCUUAACACAUGCCAGUCGAACGGAAAGGCCCUGCUUUUGUGGGGUGCUCGAGUGGCGAACGGGUGAGUAACACGUGAGUAACCUGCCCUUGACUUUGGGAUAACUUCAGGAAACUGGGGCUAAUACCGGAUAGGAGCUCCUGCUGCAUGGUGGGGGUUGGAAAGUUUCGGCGGUUGGGGAUGGACUCGCGGCUUAUCAGCUUGUUGGUGGGGUAGUGGCUUACCAAGGCUUUGACGGGUAGCCGGCCUGAGAGGGUGACCGGCCACAAUGGGACUGAGAGACGGCCCAGACUCCUACGGGAGGCAGCAGUGGGGAAUAUUGCACAGUGGGCGGAAGCCUGAUGCAGCAACGCCGCGUGCGGGAUGACGGCCUUCGGGUUGUAAACCGCUUUCGCCUGUGACGAAGCGUGAGUGACGGUAAUGGGUAAAGAAGCACCGGCUAACUACGUG
rnacentral:rRNA from 1 species